CUCUUGGACUCGCUUGCUAUUCCCGAAAAGGGGGAAAGGAUUUGGGGGGGACAAUCGCGGAGCCUCUCGCUGGCUUUAGGGAGAGAGGGCUGGGGUAGAGGAGAGCCCCAGGGAGCAGGCAGAGGAUAUUCUUUCUGGGAGCCCUGAGCCCAUCUAACCUCCAGUUCGUCCAUCAACUGAUUACUGCUCAGUCACCUCAGAUGAUACCACUGGGAGCCAGAGAACUGCCUAGCUGUGCCCUGCCUGAAUGUCUGACUCAUCACUCAUGGUGGAUGACCUUUUUCCUGAAGAAACUGCUGCAGAAUGAAAGCUCCAGGCGCUUGGGUGCAGCAAGUAGGCUAUGCAUUUCCCACCAGCAGGAAUCUAGCUCCUGGCCAAGGAAAUCAUACGUGAUGUGUAGGGAAGUGUGUGGGGCAGUGGAAGGAAUGUGGACCGUUGCCUCCCUUCGCUUGUCUGGAUGACCUUGGAUGAGGCCUCAAUCCUGGUAGUCACCUGGACUCCUCCUGAAUUUCCCGCAUGUCCUGCAGCAGUGACCCCAUCUGACAUGUUGUGUGGCUGGCUGUCCCCCAGUGAAAUCAUAGCCCUGGAGGGCAGGGUGUGUUUCUUCGUUUUCCUGCCUGGUGUGUGGAGACCCUGUGUGACCGUGGC
rnacentral:lncRNA from 1 species